GGGGUCACACCUGUUCCCAUUCCGAACACAGAAGUUAAGCCCUCCAGCGCCGAUGGUACUGCAUGGGCAACUGUGUGGGAGAGUAGGACGCCGCCGGGA
rnacentral:rRNA from 1 species